UAUGACCCUGUGAUUAAUUGAGCGGCUGACCAAUCAUUACCUCCUCCUCCCUGCUCUUUCUACCCAAUAAAUACAAAGGGCUGUGGAAGCUCAAUGGGCUGCCUUUGCUCAUUAGAAGCAGGGAGCUCUCUUCUUCUUCCCCUGGAUCCUUCCUUUAAAAUAGUUUCUUUUGUCUUAAGUUUUCAUUUCUACGUUUGUCCCUUCAUUCAGUCUCUUAAAUGACGGUCUCAAGCAGUAACAGUAGUAAUUGCUGUAAUGACGGUCUCAAGUAGUAACCAGGGCACUCUGCCACAAGUGGCACCUGAACAGGGACUAACAGGGACUAUCAAGAACAAACGGAGACCUGAAGAGACCUGAAGGGAACUGAAGAGGUCUGCAGGGACAAAUAGAGAUAAGUAGGGAUAAAUAGAGAUAAAUAGAGACAAAUAGAGAUAGGUAAGGAAUGACAGGGACUUGCAGGAAGUAACAGGGACCAUAGGGACAGAUAGGGAUAGAUAAAGACUAGCAAAGACUAGCCGAGAUUAGCAAAGACCAGCAAGGACUAGCAGAGACUAGCAAAGACUAGCAGAAACUUGCAGGGACAGGCAGAGACAGAUAGGGACAGAUAGGGUCCUACAGGGACUUGAACGAGGAAGAUCUGCUGGAAAAGAAAAGAACUACAACCAACCAGAUGAACAAGAAACCCUGUUACAAGUCUGCUGGCAGCAACAUAAGUAAAUGAUAGCUCCUUACAAAUACAGAGGACAAAAUAAAAGUGACUUAAUUAUAAAAACACAGUGACACAAAGUGAACCGGGUUCUAUAAAUUACCAUGGAAAGUGGUGAGCCAACGAUUUGGCAGAACAAAACCCUGAGGAUAUGCAAACAAAAGGGACUAUGGAAUUUGCAAUUGCAGAUUAAAAUUGAAGAAGAAAACAUUUGAGUUGCAAAUACCGUAUUAAAAGUGGACACUGCUUAUGACUGCUGUAUGCAACAGUUUUUCAGGCCCGAGGUGAUAAAUAAAAAAUUGUUUGCUCUAUUUAACCAUUGAAUGCUUGGACUACUUUUGUAUCCUUAAGAUGUGAAGUGUUCUUCACUAGAAGUAAACAUUAAGGUCAUUUACCAUUGAUUGCUUAAGGAGGAACCCAGACAUGCUCUAUUUGCAAACCGACUGCAUGAAACAAAAAGCACGGUAAUUCUGAAGCUGUUGGCUUGGAUGAAAUGAGAAUGUAAUUAAAAAGAAAAAGGUUAGCAAAAGAACAUGCUGGGAAUUGAAAAUAAAAAUCUGAAAUGAUGUCCCAGCCUGCCCUUAAGGUCUUUUCCACCAUGUAGAGAGCUACCUCAAAUGCUCUACUUGUCCCAGAGUCUAUGUUCUUUCACUACUAUUGCCUAUAUCUGUGUUUUCUGCUUUCAAUAAUCUAUUGAAAUAAUCAAAAUUAAUUACAUUCAGCAUUUUUUCUGUAUUACUCUGAUUCUAAUAAUUACCUCAAAUUUAUUUGUGCAUUUCUAUACUAGAAAGAAAAAAUAAUUUUUAGAGUUUUACUAUAUCUUCCCCUUAAUUCUAAGUUGCUUGUCACUAAUUCCUUUCCCAACACUAUGUUAUUUCCACCAAGAACAUUACCAAUAUCUUCAGGAAAAUUCCACCCCAUAUUUUAAGCCAGAUUGAUUAUUGGGAAUAUAAAUACAUUUAAGAAGGAAAGUCUUUUUGACUGUGUUUCUCCACAGACCAAUAGUAUACAAAACACAGAAGGCUUUUAAGCACAUUUCAUAGGGAUCACUGACUUAGAACAGAAGGAACCAUUUCGUGAAACACUCUCAUUUUGCACAUAAAGGAGCUGUGGCCCACAGAGGAAUAUGAUUUACUGAGAGUGACCCAGUUAGUGGCCAUAAACCAAAAGCCCCAAGAUGCUAAAUGUUUGUUAUGAAGAGUAAAAAUCCUCCCAGUUUAUAAGAAGUAACUUCAUCCUUCCAUUUUCUAUUUCCACGAUGACUCCCCUGGCUUAAAUUUUAAUCUCUAUUUUGGAUGACUCCAAAAUCUCAUUCUUCUAAAUUAAUUAUCUAAUACCACAAUGUUGCACUUAUCUUCCUACAAAUCUACUUUCAUCUGCCUUGACAAAGCCAACCCUAAUUUUCUCUAGUCCUCAUUAGAAAUUAUUGCAACAAAAAUUCACAUCCAGUCUGAAGUUUGGGAGCCAGAAAAGAAUUUUCCCAUUAAGAUGAGACAGUAUCAAUUAUUAAGCAGAGGAAGACACAAGAGGGAAAGCAGCUUUCACAUGAAAAAAAAAGAACUCUGAUUUUCUGACACAUUUUGUCAUUGCAGUCAAACUUUCAGAGUUAGAACUAGAGACCUAGAUAUUAGCUAACCCAGCAUUUUCCAAGUAUUCCUCGGAACUCUAGAGGCACAGCAUAGUACUGGUAAUGAUUUUGUGGCAGGAUAGAUUAAGGAAACCUCACAGUUAUACCAAGUUAAAUUCAUUUAUUUCAUGUAAAAUUCUGAUAGCCUUUUAUGCUACUAGGCCUAGUGAUACUCCAAAAUUAUUGGCCAUAUAUCUGAAAUUUAUUUCAGCAAGAAACCCUUUAAAGAGCAUCCCGCAGAGUUAGUGUUUUGAGGGAUAUCAUUGGGGAAAAUGCUGAUCUAGACCAAUUCAACAAAUUGUAACUUAGUUAACACCAGAGUCAAAACAAAAACCAAGUCUACUCAUGUCUGUCUUAGGCCCUUUUGGUCACAAAAACACGUUCAAACCACUUCAAUUAAGAAAAUGGUGAGAGGGGAAAAGACAAGCAGGGAACCUUAUCCCAGGUGGGCUGAUCACAGGACUUCCAAGGCUGUCCCUUAGAAGAGUCACGAUAAUGGCAUCUCUAGCACAAAACUCAAAUUUAGUUUUAAUUCUUAGUCGAAUAAUAAUACAGUAAAAUUUAUUGCAUGCAUAAGGAUAAUACAUUAAAACUACUUAAAUUACAUUUUAGGGCCGGGCGCGGUGGCUCACGCCUGUAAUCCCAGCACUUUGGGAGGCCGAGGCGGGUGGAUCACGAGGUCAGGA
rnacentral:lncRNA from 10 species